CAGCGCCACGAGUGGCAACCGCGAUUAUUGGGCCUAAAGCGUCCGUAGCCGGUUUGGUAAAUCUUUUGUGAAAUUGUACAGCUCAACUGUACAGCGUGCAAGAGACACUGCCAAACUCGAGACCGGGAGGAGUCAGAAGUAUUCCAGGGGGAGCGGUAAAAUGUUAUAAUCCCUGGAGGACUACCUGUGGCGAAGGCGUCUGACCAGAACGGAUCUGACGGUGAGGGACGAAAGCCAGGGGAGCAAACCGGAUUAGAUACCCGAGUAGUCC
rnacentral:rRNA from 1 species